rnacentral:tRNA from 1 species
GAGAGAUUAGUUAAAAUAUAAUGUAAGGUUGUCAGCCUUGAGUUACUAGCUUAGCCAGUAUCUCUUA